ACUCGGAGGAAGCUACGUCACCUCCAUCGCUACUGUGUUGUCUGCUAUGUUGUUCAGUGCUGGCUUUUCUGAUUCAUGAUUUUCCCUGUUGAAAUAAAGUUCAAUCAAUUACUUAUCUACAACAUAAAUAUUCAGCAAAUGAACAUUAUCUUCCCAACAAAAAGUUUAUUUUUAUUAACAGGAAGAAAUUGGACUCUUUGGGAACAAGCUAGCAAGUAGAGGAAUACGAAUCUUUAUAGUUUAUUAUCAGAAAUCAGGCUAAUGUUGACUAUAAAUAAAUUCCACAGUCAACUACAUUACCAUCAAAAUUAUAGUAGUACUCAAGCAACCUAGAUGUUAAAAACAAAGAAUUCCCAUGUUUUAGUAAUUGUUGUUUCAAGUUCCUUCUCUAUUAAACCUUUCAAAAGAGUUUUUAAAAAGGAAACAAACAUAACUGAGAUUUGUGUCAGGCUUUAAAUCAGUCUAAUACAUGGAGCUGAGUGGCACAGCCACAGAGCUCGAGGGCCCUAGUGGUUCUACAGUCUAGACUUUUGAGUGUCCUUAGAGAAAUACAUUAACUUCUCUGCGUCUCAGUUUCUUCAUCUUUAAAAACAAAAGGACAUGUGAUAUGAAAAUUCUAUACAUGGCAAAUAUUCCAUGGUUAAACAAUUCUAGAGCAGUAAAAUCAUGAUAUGAGUCAGAACUAUAGCUGACAGAUGAGCUAUAUAAUUAGACCCAGAAUACUAUUAAGAAUGGAUUGGCAUUAAGCAGACAAUGACUGUUACUUAAAUUCAGAAGCAGAUGCAGAUGCAUGGUUUGGAAACUACAGGCCACAGUUCAUUGCUACAAACCCUGCUUUCUUCUGGGCCACUCCUGGCUGAGACAGUCUACCAGUCUGGCAUUUAAAGUGCUCCAGGAAUCUGGAAUGGCUUCUCCUGCCAUUCCAAUUUAAACUACUAACCUUCCUGAGCCUAUACAAAAACCAGUUUACUUGUUAACUUCUAAACACUUGUAUUUCCUCAACUUUGUAUUUUCACUCAGCCUCAAAUUUGUAUUUCACUCCACCUGCCAGAAAUGCUUUUUCUUUCUCCUCUUUGCCCGAAGACUAACACAGAUUGGAUCUGAUCUUAUUUUGUUAGAAGAGUCCCAGAAUUCCCUGUGCAAAAAAAGAUUUCUCCUUAUACUGAAUUACAGCCAUCAUCUAUACAAUUAAUUUAACAAGUAUAUAAUGCUUUGUGAUAUCUACAAUUAGCAUUAUUGGACUUCUCACUCUUUUAUGCUUGUCUGCUAACUAAACUGAAAACACCUGUCUUUUUCUUUUGUUUCUCCCACAGUACCUUGUAGACAGCAGGAUUUUAACUACCCUUAAUUCUACAACAUAAUAGAGCAUAAGCAAAAUUCUCAACUGUCUACUGAAAUCCAAGACGGCAAGUUAGCACAAAAAAUAAUGGUUCAAUUUAGAGUUGACCUGGCAUGAAUACUGUAAGUCUUUACAUUAAUAAGAAUAGCUUAACGCCGGGCGUGGUGGCUCAUGCCUGUAAUUCCAGCACUUUGGGAGGCCAAGGCAGGCUGACCACCUGAGGUCAGGGGUUCAAGACUAGCAUGGCCAACAUGGUGAAACCCCGUCCCUGCUAAAAAUGCAAAAAUUAGCCAGGCAUCGCGGUGUAUGCCUGUAAUCCCAUCUACUCAGAAGGCUGAGACAGAAUCACUUGAACCUGGGAGGCAGAGAUUGCAGUGAGCUGAGAUUGUGCCACUGCACUCCAGCCUGGGCAACAGAGCGAGACUCGGUCUCAAAAAAAAAAAAAAAAAAAAAAAAAAAAGAAUAGCUUAGCAUACCAGUGAUGGGGCAGGGGUUUCUAUCAAUUCUACCUGUUUACAUGAGAAGCUGUGGAAAAAAAGUCAUAAAAGAAACGCUCUCAGGAGAACUCCUUCCAUCCAAAGACGGAAGAAAACUGAGAGCAUUAUACGCUUUUUUUUUUUUUUGAGACAGAGUUUAGCUCUUGUUGCCCUGGCCAGAGUGCAAUGGUGCGAUCUUGGUUGCAACCUCCACCUCCCAGGUUCAAGCGAUUCUCCUGCCUCAGCCUCCUGAGUAGCUGAGAUUACAGGCAUGCGCCACCAUGCCCGGGUGAUUUUGUAUUUUUAGUAGAGGUGGCCUUUCACCAUGUUGGAUCGGCUGUUCUCGAACUCCUGACCUUAGGUGAUCUGCCUGCCUCUGCCUCCCAAAGUGCUAGGAUUACAGGCGUGAGCCACUGCACCUGGUAUAACUAUUGUUAUAGUAAGAAAGGGAUGUUCCAAAUCAUAUAUGCAACAUUCACUAUACCAGUUAGUUCAAAUUCUUAAUAUUGAAUUAAGUGUUCAAGAACUGUUUAGUUCUUGAAUAAAUAAGUGAUCAAUUCUCAACUAUACAUUUUCAAUGUAUAAAAGGAAAAGAACAAGAAACACAAAGAAAUAGGUAAAGAACGAUGCUGGAGGACUGAAGUUAGAUCUCUUAUUCCAGGUAUGUUAGGCAAAAAUAACUACUCACCUUGGAACUGAAUCUACAGAGGAUGAAGAUGGGACCUUGGAAACUUGACAGUUUGCUGCAGCGGCCAGCUUUAAGGCAG
rnacentral:lncRNA from 1 species